GCCUAGUGUGGUGGUGCACACUUGUAAUCCCAAGGAAACUGAGUCUGGCAAAUCUCUUGAACUCUGGAGUUCUGAGCUACAGUGGGCUAAGACUGCUAAAUAUCUACACUAUGUUUAGCAUUAAUAUGGUGAGCCCCCAGAACAGAAAGACACCAGGCUGCCUAAGAAGGGGUGAACCCAUUCAGGUCAGAAUACAGAGCAGGUCAGUGCUUGUGCCGAUCAGCAGAGGGACCAGGCUAUGAACAGCCUCUGUACUUCUAGCCUGGGCAAAAUAGGGAGACCCAGUCUUA
rnacentral:SRP_RNA from 1 species